rnacentral:lncRNA from 1 species
ACUCAACCUUAUCUUCAGCAGUCUUAGUCACCAUCUCACUUGUGACCACCUUCUCUAUGAGCUCUGCCACCACCGACCUUCUUUGACCGAUCAAAUACUCCAAGGCAUCGAUCUUCCCUCUAGUAACAUGGAGCUCAUUCCAAAGCCAUGCGACCUGCUCCGUGGCACCCCACCUUGCCUCUUCGGCUACCUUAGCUACUCUCACAUAAGCCUCGAC